CGGACGGGUGAGUAAUGUCUGGGAAACUGCCUGAUGGAGGGGGAUAACUACUGGAAACGGUAGCUAAUACCGCAUAAUGUCGCAAGACCAAAGAGGGGGACCUUCGGGCCUCUUGCCAUCGGAUGUGCCCAGAUGGGAUUAGCUAGUAGGUGGGGUAACGGCUCACCUAGGCGACGAUCCCUAGCUGGCCUGAGAGGAUGACCAGCCACACUGGAACUGAGACACGGUCCAGACUCCUACGGGAGGCAGCAUG
rnacentral:rRNA from 1 species